AACGAACGCUGGCGGCAGGCUUAACACAUGCAAGUCGAGCGCCCCGCAAGGGGAGCGGCAGACGGGUGAGUAACGCGUGGGAAUCUACCGUGCCCUACGGAAUAGCUCCGGGAAACUGGAAUUAAUACCGUAUACGCCCUACGGGGGAAAGAUUUAUCGGGGUAUGAUGAGCCCGCGUUGGAUUAGCUAGUUGGUGGGGUAAAGGCCUACCAAGGCGACGAUCCAUAGCUGGUCUGAGAGGAUGAUCAGCCACAUUGGGACUGAGACACGGCCCAAACUCCUACGGGAGGCAGCAGUGGGGAAUAUUGGACAAUGGGCGCAAGCCUGAUCCAGCCAUGCCGCGUGAGUGAUGAAGGUCUUAGGAUUGUAAAGCUCUUUCACCGGUGAAGAUAAUGACGGUAACCGGAGAAGAAGCCCCGGCUAACUUCGUGCCAGCCGCCGCCGUAA
rnacentral:rRNA from 1 species